rnacentral:rRNA from 1 species
AAUGAACGCUGGCGGCGUGCUUAACACAUGCAAGUCGAACGGUAACAGAAGCAGCUUGCUGCUUGCUGACGAGUGGCGCACGGGUGAGUAAUAUAUAGAUAACGUGCCUCUUAGUCUGGGAUAGCCAUUGGAAACGAUGAUUAAUACUAGAUACUCCUUCUCAUUCUAAUAUGAGUCGGGAAAGUUUUUCGCUAAGAGAUCGGUCUAUAUCCCAUCAGCUAGUUGGUAGUGUAAGAGACUACCAAGGCAAUGACGGGUAGCGGGUUUGAGAGGAUGAUCCGCCACACUGGUACUGAGACACGGACCAG